rnacentral:rRNA from 2 species
GGGUUGUGAGGUUAAGCGACUAAGCGUACACGGUGGAUGCCCUGGCAGUCAGAGGCGAUGAAGGACGUGCUAAUCUGCGAUAAGCGUCGGUAAGGUGAUAUGAACCGUUAUAACCGGCGAUUUCCGAAUGGGGAAACCCAGUGUGUUUCGACACACUAUCAUUAACUGAAUCCAUAGGUUAAUGAGGCGAACCGGGGGAACUGAAACAUCUAAGUACCCCGAGGAAAAGAAAUCAACCGAGAUUCCCCCAGUAGCGGCGAGCGAACGGGGAGCAGCCCAGAGCCUGAAUCAGUGUGUGUGUUAGUGGAAGCGUCUGGAAAGGCGCGCGAUACAGGGUGACAGCCCCGUACACAAAAAUGCACAUACUGUGAGCUCGAUGAGUAGGGCGGGACACGUGGUAUCCUGUCUGAAUAUGGGGGGACCAUCCUCCAAGGCUAAAUACUCCUGACUGACCGAUAGUGAACCAGUACCGUGAGGGAAAGGCGAAAAGAACCCCGGCGAGGGGAGUGAAAAAGAACCUGAAACCGUGUACGUACAAGCAGUGGGAGCACGCUUCGGCGUGUGACUGCGUACCUUUUGUAUAAUGGGUCAGCGACUUAUAUUCUGUAGCAAGGUUAACCGAAUAGGGGAGCCGAAGGGAAACCGAGUCUUAACUGGGCGUUAAGUUGCAGGGUAUAGACCCGAAACCCGGUGAUCUAGCCAUGGGCAGGUUGAAGGUUGGGUAACACUAACUGGAGGACCGAACCGACUAAUGUUGAAAAAUUAGCGGAUGACUUGUGGCUGGGGGUGAAAGGCCAAUCAAACCGGGAGAUAGCUGGUUCUCCCCGAAAGCUAUUUAGGUAGCGCCUCGUGAACUCAUCUUCGGGGGUAGAGCACUGUUUCGGCAAGGGGGUCAUCCCGACUUACCAACCCGAUGCAAACUGCGAAUACCGGAGAAUGUUAUCACGGGAGACACACGGCGGGUGCUAACGUCCGUCGUGAAGAGGGAAACAACCCAGACCGCCAGCUAAGGUCCCAAAGUCAUGGUUAAGUGGGAAACGAUGUGGGAAGGCCCAGACAGCCAGGAUGUUGGCUUAGAAGCAGCCAUCAUUUAAAGAAAGCGUAAUAGCUCACUGGUCGAGUCGGCCUGCGCGGAAGAUGUAACGGGGCUAAACCAUGCACCGAAGCUGCGGCAGCGACACUAUGUGUUGUUGGGUAGGGGAGCGUUCUGUAAGCCUGUGAAGGUGUGCUGUGAGGCAUGCUGGAGGUAUCAGAAGUGCGAAUGCUGACAUAAGUAACGAUAAAGCGGGUGAAAAGCCCGCUCGCCGGAAGACCAAGGGUUCCUGUCCAACGUUAAUCGGGGCAGGGUGAGUCGACCCCUAAGGCGAGGCCGAAAGGCGUAGUCGAUGGGAAACAGGUUAAUAUUCCUGUACUUGGUGUUACUGCGAAGGGGGGACGGAGAAGGCUAUGUUGGCCGGGCGACGGUUGUCCCGGUUUAAGCGUGUAGGCUGGUUUUCCAGGCAAAUCCGGAAAAUCAAGGCUGAGGCGUGAUGACGAGGCACUACGGUGCUGAAGCAACAAAUGCCCUGCUUCCAGGAAAAGCCUCUAAGCAUCAGGUAACAUUAAAUCGUACCCCAAACCGACACAGGUGGUCAGGUAGAGAAUACCAAGGCGCUUGAGAGAACUCGGGUGAAGGAACUAGGCAAAAUGGUGCCGUAACUUCGGGAGAAGGCACGCUGAUAUGUAGGUGAAGUCCCUCGCGGAUGGAGCUGAAAUCAGUCGAAGAUACCAGCUGGCUGCAACUGUUUAUUAAAAACACAGCACUGUGCAAACACGAAAGUGGACGUAUACGGUGUGACGCCUGCCCGGUGCCGGAAGGUUAAUUGAUGGGGUUAGCGGUAACGCGAAGCUCUUGAUCGAAGCCCCGGUAAACGGCGGCCGUAACUAUAACGGUCCUAAGGUAGCGAAAUUCCUUGUCGGGUAAGUUCCGACCUGCACGAAUGGCGUAAUGAUGGCCAGGCUGUCUCCACCCGAGACUCAGUGAAAUUGAACUCGCUGUGAAGAUGCAGUGUACCCGCGGCAAGACGGAAAGACCCCGUGAACCUUUACUAUAGCUUGACACUGAACAUUGAGCCUUGAUGUGUAGGAUAGGUGGGAGGCUUUGAAGUGUGGACGCCAGUCUGCAUGGAGCCGACCUUGAAAUACCACCCUUUAAUGUUUGAUGUUCUAACGUUGACCCGUAAUCCGGGUUGCGGACAGUGUCUGGUGGGUAGUUUGACUGGGGCGGUCUCCUCCUAAAGAGUAACGGAGGAGCACGAAGGUUGGCUAAUCCUGGUCGGACAUCAGGAGGUUAGUGCAAUGGCAUAAGCCAGCUUGACUGCGAGCGUGACGGCGCGAGCAGGUGCGAAAGCAGGUCAUAGUGAUCCGGUGGUUCUGAAUGGAAGGGCCAUCGCUCAACGGAUAAAAGGUACUCCGGGGAUAACAGGCUGAUACCGCCCAAGAGUUCAUAUCGACGGCGGUGUUUGGCACCUCGAUGUCGGCUCAUCACAUCCUGGGGCUGAAGUAGGUCCCAAGGGUAUGGCUGUUCGCCAUUUAAAGUGGUACGCGAGCUGGGUUUAGAACGUCGUGAGACAGUUCGGUCCCUAUCUGCCGUGGGCGCUGGAGAACUGAGGGGGGCUGCUCCUAGUACGAGAGGACCGGAGUGGACGCAUCACUGGUGUUCGGGUUGUCAUGCCAAUGGCACUGCCCGGUAGCUAAAUGCGGAAGAGAUAAGUGCUGAAAGCAUCUAAGCACGAAACUUGCCCCGAGAUGAGUUCUCCCUGACCCUUUAAGGGUCCUGAAGGAACGUUGAAGACGACGACGUUGAUAGGCCGGGUGUGUAAGCGCAGCGAUGCGUUGAGCUAACCGGUACUAAUGAACCGUGAGGCUUAACCUUACAACGCCGAAGCUGUU